ACGGGUGAGUAACACGUGGGCAACCUGCCCUUGAGACUGGGAUAACUUCGGGAAACCGGAGCUAAUACCGGAUAAUAUGAGGAACCUCCUGGUUCUUUAUUGAAAGAUGGUUUCGGCUAUCACUUAAGGAUGGGCCCGCGGCGCAUUAGCUAGUUGGUGAGGUAACGGCUCACCAAGGCGACGAUGCGUAGCCGACCUGAGAGGGUGAUCGGCCACACUGGGACUGAGACACGGCCCAGACUCCUACGGGAGGCAGCAGUAGGGAAUCUUCCACAAUGGACGAAAGUCUGAUGGAGCAAUGCCGCGUGAGUGAUGAAGGCCUUCGGGUCGUAAAGCUCUGUUGUUAGGGAAGAACAAGUGCGAGAGUAACUGCUCGCACCUUGACGGUACCUAACCAGAAAGCCACGGCUAACUACGUGCCAGCAGCCGCGGUAAUACGUAGGUGGCAAGCGUUAUCCGGAAUUAUUGGGCGUAAAGCGCGCGCAGGUGGUUUCUUAAGUCUGAUGUGAAAGCCCACGGCUCAACCGUGGAGGGUCAUUGGAAACUGGGGAACUUGAGUGCAGAAGAGGAAAGUGGAAUUCC
rnacentral:rRNA from 1 species